rnacentral:tRNA from 1 species
GGACGUUGCCAGGCGGGAGAGCAUCUGCCUUACAAGCAGAGGGUCGGCGGUUCGAGCCCGUCAUCCUCCA